AAACUUGAGAGUUUGAUCCUGGCUCAGAACGAACGCUGGCGGCAGGCUUAACACAUGCAAGUCGAGCGCCCCGCAAGGGGAGCGGCAGACGGGUGAGUAACGCGUGGGAAUCUACCUAUCUCUACGGAACAACUCCGGGAAACUGGAGCUAAUACCGUAUACGCCCUUCGGGGGAAAGAUUUAUCGGAGAUAGAUGAGCCCGCGUUGGAUUAGCUAGUUGGUGGGGUAAUGGCCUACCAAGGCGACGAUCCAUAGCUGGUCUGAGAGGAUGAUCAGCCACACUGGGACUGAGACACGGCCCAGACUCCUGCGGGAGGCAGCAGUGGGGAAUAUUGGACAAUGGGCGCAAGUCUGAUCCAGCCAUGCCGCGUGAGUGAUGAAGGCCCUAGGGUUGUAAAGCUCUUUCAGCUGGAACGAAACGGUACGCGCUAACAUCGUGUGCUAAUGACGGUACCGGCAGAAGAAGCACCG
rnacentral:rRNA from 1 species